CCUACGGGAGGCAGCAGUAAGGAAUAUUGGUCAAUGGACGCAAGUCUGAACCAGCCAUGCCGCGUGAAGGAUGAAGGUCCUCUGGAUUGUAAACUUCUUUUAUAGGGGACGAAAAAAGGGAAUUCUUUCUCGUCUGACGGUACCCUAGGAAUAAGCACCGGCUAACUCCGUGCCAGCAGCCGCGGUAAUACGGAGGGUGCAAGCGUUAUCCGGAUUUACUGGGUUUAAAGGGUGCGUAGGUGGGUCUGUAAGUCAGUGGUGAAAUCUCCGGGCUUAACCCGGAAACUGCCAUUGAUACUAUAGGUCUUGAAUACUCUGGAGGUAAGCGGAAUAUGUCAUGUAGCGGUGAAAUGCUUAGAUAUGACAUAGAACACCAAUUGCGAAGGCAGCUUACUACGGGGUCAUUGACACUGAGGCACGAAAGCGUGGGGAUCAAACAGGAUUAGAUACCCUGGUAGUCCACGCCCUAAACGAUGGAUACUCGACAUCAGCGAUACACUGUUGGUGUCUGAGCGGAAGCAUUAAGUAUCCCACCUGGGAAGUACGAUCGCAAGAUUGAAACUCAAAGAGUAAGUAGGCGCGNGAGAGCGACGACGACGACGACGGAGGGAGGAGG
rnacentral:rRNA from 1 species